rnacentral:misc_RNA from 1 species
GAUGAAGAACGCAGCGAAUUGCGAUAAGUAAUGUGAAUUGCAGAAUUACGUGAAUCAUCGAAUCUUUGAACGCAUAUUGCACUCUCUGGUAAUCCGGAGAGUAUGCCUGUUUGAGGGUCAGUAAAUAAUAAUUAUAUCAUGAAUCUUUGAUUUAUGGAAUUGGGCUUUUAUUUCGAUAGAUUUAUGGCCUUAAAUUUAUGUUAUGGGCUUGUCAUAUAAAAUCCGAUUUAAAGGAGCAAUUAAACAUUCUCUCAUUAGCGGAUUUUUACAAGCUGUUAUGAUCUUUGGUUGCUUUCAGCAUUUUUACGAGUGCGAAACCAAGAUCGUAAGUUUACUCUAACAAUGACCUCAAAUCAGGCAAGAAUACCCGCUGAACUUAAGCAUAUCAAUAAGCGGAGGA